rfam:Endozoicomonas montiporae strain LMG 24815 scaffold00003, whole genome shotgun sequence.
CGACUCCCACCCGGUAAAGACUAACCAUCAGCCGGAAGCGAGUCUUGCAUAGCCAGUGGUAACGCUGGUUGUGAAGCGUAAACAGCAGGUACUAAAGCCGCGGGAUUGAGUCUCGAAAUCAUGUGACCGUUGAGGACUUCAUUUUGUUGGUUGUGGUCAGCACUGCCAACCCGACUUGGUGAGGGUAUGGCAGCUCGGCUGGGCUCUGAGGCCG